rnacentral:rRNA from 1 species
AUAGCGUAUAUUAAAGUUGUUGCAGUUAAAAAGCUCGUAGUUGAAUUUCUGGCCAAUCUCAUGCUGCGCUUCUAGCCGGUAUGAGGUUUGGUCAUCCGUAAGGGAAGCUAGUACGAACUUCAAUGGUCGGCUAGGGGAACUUACAAUUUACUGUGAAAAAAUUAGAGUGUUUCAGGCAGGCAAUCGCUUGGAUACUCCAGCAUGGAAUAAUGGAAUAGGACUUUGGUCUAUUUGUUGGUUUGAGAUCAAAGUAAUGAUUAAUAGGGACAGUUGGGGGCAUUCGUAUUUAAUUGUCAGAGGUGAAAUUCUUGGAUUUAUUAAAGACGGACUUAUG